CUCUCUCUCGCACGAAACCCCCCUGCAGUCUUCAAUUUCUUCUUUUCCUUUGACCGGUCUUCUCUUUUAUCUUUUCUUCACUUGCUUCCCACGCCAGGGCAGCUGAACCCUACUCCCUCACGUCUUCUGCUUUCUUUAAUUUGCUUGGACGGAAGCAAACCCGCAGAAGCAGCCCCACGAUUCCUCUUCUUCUCUGCCAUGCCGCACUCACGCAUGCCUCAUCCCCACCGAGAAUUUUCUUCCCUGUAGCUCACCCACGUAUUUCAUUCGGUCAGCAAAUCAGCAACUUCUUCUCAUGGUUAACUCCAGCAGGGACGAAAAGGAUUCCUCCGAGAGACCUCACGUCCCGCAAACCCCGCAGCUGCAACUCAGCCCGGUUCCUGGUCGUUCCAUCACUGCGGCCACCGAAUCCAGUCAAACCGUGUCCAUUCAGCCACUGAUUUCAUCCCUUCAGAACCGAUUCAGCAAGGUCAGAAGCUCGGGAGCAGAAUACCCAACUCGAACAGCGAGCUUGUAGGCCGAUUUCGGCCCCGGUUUGGCCCCGCUAGGCAGUCCUGCUUUGAGGUUUAUCGGCACUCGUCGCGUGCUCGUCAAUUUGAUCCAAGCAGAUCUUUAAUCAAGACCUGGAUGAGGAGCCUAAGGAGCAUGAUUCUGGUGAGGAGAUCUCUGUUGAGGAACCCGAAGAGGAGUACGUGGAGGAGGACCCCGAGGAUAACCCCGAGUACGACCCAGAUGAGGAAUGAGAUCCCGUCCUGUCUUGUCAGACCUUGUGUGCAUGUGAAUAGAUGUUAGACCAGAGUUGCAUAUAUAUAGUAUUGUAGAAUACUAUGAGAUGCAUGUAAAAAGGUGUGGUUGUAAAUUUUCAAUAUGAAAAAUAUAUGGCCUGCUUUUCUAUCC